rnacentral:lncRNA from 1 species
CCCUGAUGGUUUUUCUUGAGACAAGGUUUCAUUUUGUGGUGCAGUUGGCCUCAGGGUUGCUAUGUAGCCGAGGCUGGCCAUGAGCUGUUGAUCCUCCUGCCUGCACCUACAAGUUCUGGAACUGUAGCUGUAACUCUUCCAUUCUGCUUUACAAGCUGACAAGAUUUCAAGUCAAGGCAGGAGGCUCACGAUGCUGUCAUGAAGUACACGUGGAGAAGAACUGCAGAUAAAUGCUUUCCACUAUUCCUGACAGGUAUGUAUGGCUCAAGCCGUUCCACAGCUCCUGGGUGGAUGUCUGUAGAGCUUUGAAGAAGAAUUAGUGAGCAUUUGGAUGAUGCAAAAGCAAGAGGGAGGAAGAAGAUGUGGAGGAGGAAAGACCUCAAAGCUGCCUGCAUGCAGUUUGGUCUUGCCUCAGCAUGUGGGAUCUGUUUCAGCUGAAAUCACUGUGCCAAUCGGCCAGAGUCUGCUGAAGCAGGAAGAAACUGCAGCAUACCACCAGAAGUUUUUGGCAAAUGGACAGACAUCCUGUGGUGCAUCUGCACAAUGGAUUACUACUUGGCAAUAAAAGGCAUGGACUACUGAUAAUCCAAGGAAUAUGGAGUGUCUCCAGAUAAAUAACAUUUAAGAACGGAGAAGAAUGUCUGAGAAGAGUGGACAGUAUGAGGCCACACAAUGAUUGGGAAACAACUUCUUCCUAUAAUGGGUUAAAUCGUGUUCCCACCUAAUUCCUUGGUCAUAAAACAUUUUGAAAUCCUAAUUUGAGAACCUCAGAAUGUGACUUCCUUUGGAGAUGGGUCCUUUAAAUAGGCAAUUAAGACAAAAUGAGACAUUUUGGGUACAUUCUAAUCUGAUAUAGUAUCUUUGUAAGAAGGCACACUUGGGGCUCACAAAUAGAAAGAGAGACCUUGUGGACACACUGAGAAGGUGGACACUUGUGGCUAAGUGUAAGGGCAUCAGAAGAAAGCAAGUAUGCAGAAACUUUGAUCUGAGGCUCUCAAGCCACCUGACCCUCUAGACCAGUGGUUCUCAAUCUUCCUAAUGCUGCAACCCUUUAAUAAAGUUCUGCAUGUUGUGGUGACCCCCAACCAUAAACUUACUUUCAUUGCUACUUUGUAACUGUAGUCUUACUACCAUUAUGAAUCGUAAUGUAAAUAUUUUUUGGAGAUAGAGUUUUGUCAAAGGGACCGAAACCCACAAGUUGAGAAUUGUUACUCUACAUAAAGAAUUUGGCCCCUGAGUCCAUACAUAUAUAGUGCUGUGUUUCCUCAGUCCUAAGCACAUGCAUGCAUGGCCCCAGCAGGUCUACAAUAGCAGACUUCCCUGUUCGUAGAGGCAACUAUUUGCCAACAUGCCUUCCUCUACAGAGCAUCUGCAAUAUCACACAGAGCACCAGCAGGCUGUCACUCAUCUUGGAGCACAGUAAUGACAAGCCUUUCAGCUCCCAAACCCAGGCAGGACUGCACCCUGCGGCACCUCUUUAAGUGCCUGCCGUGGUAGGGUGCCUGCUGGGGCUUACAGCUGCUGUGUGGUGGGCUCCAAACUCGAAGCUCCUACUGCUGAGUGCCAUUGUCAGGUGCAGCCAAGCCCUAGCUUUGUAUAACCAAGUGCUGUGAGCAGGGGAACUUCAAAAAGGAGAGAGACAAAUGAAACUCGCAGGUUACUUCACUCACGGGGAUUUUCUUUCCUAGUUCAUUUAUGGUACUUUUCAUCUGAAAAUUUUAUCUUGAAAUGUAGAAGCUUAAAUAUCUUCAAUGGAAUUACUGCAUGCUUUCUAAGACUCUGGCAUUCUUUGUAUAAAGUAGGGCCUGCUCUUGCUGUCUCCCUUAAGAUACCAUGUCCUCAUUUAUUUUCUUGCCUUUUAAACUUUUCUUUCCAUCUAACAAGCCCCUUGAACACCUCUUAGGAUUUUUUUUUUUGAUCAUAAACCAGAUUUUUCACUCUUUGAAAGCUUGUUCUCUCCAACCCUCAUAUUAAACUCCCCGCCGCGUGAAUCCAUGAGUGAUCUGUCAAACAUAAGCAUAGAAACUCCUUGGAGACAGAGACAUGGUUUUAUAUCUCACGCAUAGCCUUCUGGGCACUAAGUGUUCUUAAUAAAUCACCAUAAUGGCUUC